rnacentral:ncRNA from 1 species
GAGAACUAAUAAUUUCGAAGUGUGGAAUGAUAGGGUAACGUCUUGAAACACACUCUUUAAUACUCCGACUGGCAUUACAAGAGGAAACUUUAAAUGUCAGAAGCUCGGUGAAGUCGGCAGAAGUAAGUCUAAGUCAAAGAAAUAAUCAAGUAAGAUUGGUUCAAAAGUGGUUAGAACCCACCUGUCAUGAAAGAUUAAAGUAUAAGAUAGGAUUUAUGAUAUGCCGGAAGUCUACAAA